UUUGUGGAGAGUUUGAUCCUGGCUCAGGACGAACGCUGGCGGCAUGCCUAACACAUGCAAGUCGAACGGAGAGCUGAAGUUUCGAUGGAAGCUCUUAGUGGCGGACGGGUGAGUAACGCGUGGAUAACCUGCCUGAGAGUGGGGGAUAACAGCCCGAAAGGGCUGCUAAUACCGCAUAACGUUCCUGGAGGACAUCCUCUGGGAACCAAAGGAGCAAUCCGCUCUUGGAUGGGUCCGCGUCCGAUUAGCUCGUUGGUGAGGUAAUAGCUCACCAAGGCGACGAUCGGUAGCCGGCCUGAGAGGGUGAACGGCCACACUGGGACUGAGACACGGCCCAGACUC
rnacentral:rRNA from 1 species